AGAUACCCCUGUAGUCCUAGCCGUAAACGAUGAACACUAGGUGUCGGGGGAAUCGACCCCCUCGGUGUCGUAGCUAACGCGUUAAGUGUUCCGCCUGGGGAGUACGCACGCAUGUGUGAAACUCAAAGGAAUUGACGGGGGCCCGCACAAGCGGUGGAGUAUGUGGUUUAAUUCGAUGCAACGCGAAGAACCUUACCAGGGUUUGACAUCCUGCGAAUCCCUUGGAAACUAGGGAGUGCCUUCGGGAGCGCAGAGACAGGUGGUGCAUGGCUGUCGUCAGCUCGUGUCGUGAGAUGUUGGGUUAAGUCCCGCAACGAGCGCAACCCACGUCUUUAGUUGCCAGCAUUUAGUUGGGCACUCUAGAGAGACCGCCGGUGAUAAACCGGAGGAAGGUGUGGAUGACGUCAAGUCAUCAUGCCCCUUACAUCCUGGGCUACACACGUACUACAAUGCUACGGACAAAGGGUUGCAAACUCGCGAGAGCUAGCUAAUCCCAUAAACCGUGGCUCAGUUCAGAUCGUAGGCUGCAACUCGCCUACGUGAAGGAGGAAUCGCUAGUAAUCGCAGGUCAGCAUACUGCGGUGAUACGUUCCCGGGCCUUGUACACACCGCCCGUCACACCAUGGAAGUUGGCCACGCCCGA
rnacentral:rRNA from 1 species